CCACUCAGACUCCUGCCGGAAGAUACUCCUCCGGUUGAUCCAGAUGAGACAGUUCUAGCAGAUGAUCAGUUACAGACUGAAGAACAUAUCCCACAGAUCAAUGCGUCAACAUCUGCAAAUGAAGCUGAUAUCAGAAUCGACAUGAUGAUGGUACUACACGAGAUGCUCAUGGAAAAGGUCUCCGUUUGCUUUCCUCCUCCCACGAGCAGUACAAAGUGUGGGUUCAACUUUAAUCUGAUAGAAGAUAUCGUAUGCGGAACCCAAGCCCGGCCAUGUCUGUACAUAAUAACGAAAGAAACCGGUUAUGCUGCGAGGGCGUUUACCUCGAUAGAUGUUGAAAAUGCCCACAGCAUUAUAAAUCAUUUGGAC